rnacentral:lncRNA from 1 species
CAUCUACAAGUUAGACAAAUAUGGAAACAUGAUCUUGAAAGAUAUGAUUUUAUAAUCUUAGAGAUCUUAGAUAUGAUAUGUAAUCUUAUAAGAUAUUAUUUUAUAAGAUUACAUAUCUUAGAUAAGAUAGGUAAUCUUAGAAUAUAUGAUUUUAUAUUCUUAGAGAUUUGAUUGUAGAUACCCUUUAAUCAUAGCCGUUGAUGUACUUGAUUUUGUACCGUUGGAUUUGGAGAGGCUCAACUAUAAAUAGAGGCCUCUUCCCUCAUUGUAAAGCACUUGAGUUUUGAGCAAUAAGAAUUCUUGAGAGCAUUCACUCAAAGUUCUCUCUCUCUUGUGUUCUUAUUUUCCUUGGCUUGUUCUUGUCUUAUUCUUCUUUCAUCUUGUUUGGCUUUGAGUUGCUUUCGCUUGAGUUGUGUUUUGGGAAGAAUUCUAUUGAAUCCUUCUUUUGUGGGAGUUAGGCUGACUUAGGCAUUUUUAGAGUAAGAAACUGCCUAAGGCCGCACGGAUUGUGAGGCAAGAAUCCUAAGUCCGUGACAGUUGGUACCAGAGCCGGUUCGAAAGCACUUUUGAGAUAUGUCGAAAGAAGUUGUUGAUUAGAAUGAGCCAAUGGAGACCCGUGGGAGGGCUAGAAAGGCUAGUCGAUCGAGGGAUAUGCUGUGGAGCUUGGAAAUUCGAGUGGUUAAUCUCGAGGAGUCCGUUGGUGACAUGAAGGAGACACUCGAAGUGGUCCUGACCCGUAUGGAGGAACUGAGGGAAGAUAGCAAGGAGUUUGUGUUGGACUCCCUUAGAUCCACUUCAGACAAAUUGACAGGAAGGGACAAAGCUCUUGAGGCCCUGCUGACUGCCAUGAAGGAAGAGAUUGCUGAGCUUAAGGGGGAGCUCAGAAUCUAUAAGGCUGCCCUGGGAAGUGGGAUGUUGGCUUCGGGACCGAAGCAACGUCAUGUGGAUGUUCCAAAAACCGAGAAGUUCAAGGGGAUUAGGUCCGCAAGAGAAGUGGACAACUUCCUGUGGGAAUUGAAGCAAUAUUUUCGAGCAAUUGGCAUUGAGGAUGAUGCCACCAAGGUAAACACCGCUUCAAUUUACUUUUCUGAUGUUGCUCUCUUGUGGUGGAGACGUAGGUCCACGGAUGAGAAACAUGGAGGAACGACCAUUGGAACUUGGGAGGAGUUCCAAAGAGAGCUGAAGAAGUAGUUUUAUCCACAACAUGCUGAAAAGGAGGCUCGUGCUAAGUUGCGUCGGCUUACGCAACAAGGCACUGUUCGAGAUUAUGUUCAGGAAUUCAGCGAGUUGAUGCUUCAGAUCUCAGACUUGAACGAGAAAGAAGCAUUCUAUUGGUUCGAGGAUGGUUUAAAAAUGUGGGCCAAGCAAGAGUUGCGUCGUCUAGAUAUCACCGAAUUGACCGAAGCUAUGGCCAAGGUAGAAAAUUUCUAUGAUGUUGGGGGAAGAAAGUUUGAUAAUAAUGAUUCUUCCAAACCCAAUUCGAAACCCAAAGACAAUGGUAAGGGAAACAAUGAUAAAAGGGAAAAGAAUGACGAAGGCCCAAAGUCUAGUCAAGGUAAGUCUUGGGAUAGAAAAGGACCAAUGAAGUGCUUUCUUUGCCAAGGCCCACAUAGAAUGAGUGUCUGUCCAAAGAAAGCCACUUUUCAUGCCAUGGAGGCACGCGAGGAAGCCGAAGAUGACACCAAAAGCCUCAAUUCGAUAUUAGGAGGUGUCGAAGAGAAGUCAAGCAAUGGGUUGAUGUUUGUGGACAUCAUCGUAGUUGGCAGAAGAUUGAAUGCACUUGUUGAUACUGGUACGUCUGAUUUAUUCAUGUCUAAAGAAAUGGAAAAGGAGCUUGGCCUUAGAAUCGAGGAAGAUUCGGGACGAAUCAAAACGGUGAAUUUAGAAAGCAUUCCCAUAACGGGUGUGGCAAAAGGGGUGGAACUCAAACUUGGCGAGUGGACGGGCAAAGCAACCAUUAAGGUAAUCCCACUUGAUGAUUACGAUUUUGUAGUUGGAUUAAGUUUACUUGACAGGUUUAAUGCGGAUAUUCACCCUUCCGAGAAUUACAUGACAAUCUCCGAUGCAAAUCAAUGAUAUAUGGUGAGAAUGAAAAGGAAGGGAAACAUGGAGGGAAAAACCUUGUCGGCAAUUCAAUUUGCCAAAGGAGUCCAUCGAAAUGAAGUCUCCUACCUAGCUACCUUGAGAGAUAAUAUGGAUGAUAAAUUCGAGGGGGAAAUUCCAAAGGAAGUGGAACGGUUGCUAAAGUCAUUUCAAGAUGUAAUGCCCAUGGAGUUGCCCAAAAGAUUGCCACCUAAGAGGAAGGUGGACCACAAGAUUGAGCUGUUGCCCAAUGCUGAACCACCAGCAAGGGCACCAUAUCGGAUGGCUCCACCGGAACUAGAGGAAUUGCGGAAGCAGUUGAUAGAGCUUUUAGAUGCCAGGUUUAUUAGACCAUCUAAAGCCCCGUUCGGUGCACCUGUGUUAUUUCAAAAAAAGCAUGAUGGAUCUUUGAGAAUGUGCAUCGACUACAGGGCCUUAAACAAAAUCACUAUAAAAAUAGGUAUCCCAUUCCUCUUAUUGCAGAUUUGUUCGAUCAGCUUGGUAGCGCGAGAUGGUUUACUAAGUUGGAUUUGCGAUCGGGGUACCACCAAGUGAGAAUAGCCGAAGGGGAUGAGCCCAAGACAGCCUGUGUAACUAGGUAUGGGUCCUUUGAGUUCUUGGUGAUGCCAUUCGGGUUGACAAAUGCUCCGGCCACAUUUUGUACCCUAAUGAAUAAGGUAUUACAACCUUUCUUAGAUCAUUUUGUGGUUGUUUAUCUUGACGAUAUUGUGGUGUAUAGUAAGACGCUCGAAGAGCAUGUGGGACACUUGGGGGAGGUGUUUCAAACUCUACGAGAAAAUGAGCUAUAUGUCAAAAAGGAGAAAUGCUCAUUUGCCCAACGAGAAGUGUCAUUUCUAGGCCAUAUUGUGGGAGGUGGCACGAUUCGAAUGGAUGAAAGUAAAGUUCGGGCAAUUGCCGAUUGGAAAUCACCAACUAAGGUGACGGAGUUGCGGUCUUUCCUUGGAUUAGCAAAUUAUUACCGUCGCUUCAUUGAAGGCUAUUCCAAGAUCACUGCACCCUUGACGGACCUGUUGAAAAAGGGCAAAGUGUGGGAUUGGGACCUUCAGUGUGAGAAAGCCUUCAACCAAGUGAAGCAAGCGAUGACGAGCGAGCCUGUACUCGCAUUGCCAAUUUUUUCAAAGGCAUAUGAGGUACGCACAGAUGCUUCAGAGUAUGCGAUUGGAGGGGUGUUGAUGCAAGAUGGGCAUCUGAUUGCUUUCGAGAGUCGAAAGCUUAAUGAGACGGAACGGAGAUACACGGUCCAAGAAAAAGAGAUGACGGCAGUGGUGCAUUGUUUGUGCACAUGGAGACACUAUUUGCUGGGUUCUAGGUUUGUGGUAUUCACUGAUAAUGUUGCAAAUAGCUAUUUCUUAACCCAGAAAAAGUUGUCCCCCAAGUAGGCUCGUUGGCAGGUUUUCCUAGCAGAGUUUGGUUUUAGCAUGGAAUACAAGCCGGGGAGUGCCAACAAUGUGGCCGAUGCACUUAGCCGAAAAAUGGAAUUUGCAACGAUAAGCCAACCUGAGAGUCCCUUAUUAGAGCGCAUUCAAGAAGGACUGUCCCAUGAUCCCACGACCAAAAAUCUGAUGGAGCUUGCUAGAGAUGGAAAGACGAGGCGAUUUUGGCUCGAGGGAGAAUUGCUAUACACUCAUGGGCAACGUCUAUAUGUGCCUCAACAUGGGAAUUUACGAAGGAAAUCAUGAAGGAAUGUCAUGAUUCAAAAUGGGCUGGCCAUCCAGGAAUACACCGUACCUUGGCUCUAUUGGAGGAUCGAUUUUAUUGGCCUCACAUGGGUGAUGAUGUGGAGGCCUAUGUGAAAACUUGUUUAAUAUGCCAACAAGAUAAGGUUGAGUUGAAAGCCCCUGCUGGUUUGUUACAACCGUUGCCCAUUCCGGAGCACCCAUGGGAGAGCUUGUCCAUGGACUUUAUCACAGGCUUACCUAAAUCUGAUGGAUUUGCAAGUAUUUUUGUUGUGGUGGACAGGUUUUUGAAGUAUGCAACUUUCAUCCCCGCAACCAAGGAGUGUCCCGCUGAGGAGGCAGCUCGCUUAUUCCUUAAGCAUGUGGUGAAGUAUUGGGGAGUACCACAGUCUAUCAUCAGUGAUCGAGAUGGGCGAUUUACGGGUCGAUUUUGGACAGAUUUAUUCAAGUUAAUGGGUUCAGACUUAAACUUUUCCACUAGCAUGCAUCCCCAAACUGAUGGGCAAACCGAACGAGUGAAUGCAUUGUUGGAGACGUAUCUUCGGCACUAUGUAAGUGCGACACAAAAAGAUUGGCCAAAGUUGUUGGACGUGGCCCAGUUUUCGUUCAACUUACAACGAAGUGGGGCAACGAACCAGAGUCCGUUUGAGAUAGUGACGGGGCAACAGCCGCUUACACCCAAUGUGGUUGCAACUCGUUAUGCGGGACCGAAUCCAGCAGCUUAUCGAUUUGCGAGGGAUUGGCAAGAGCAAAACGAUCUAGCUAGAGCUUGUCUACAUAAGGCAAGUAAGCGCAACAAGAAGUGGGCGGAUCGAAAUCGAAGAGACGUGUAAUUUCAGGUUGGUGACCUAAUUCUUGCCAAACUACACCUAAUUUUGCGACAUGAUGGGUUACACAAAAGACUCGUUCGGCGGUAUGAGGGGCCAUUUCGAAUUGUGAAGAAGGUAGGCAAGGUGGCCUACAAGCUUGAGUUGCCUGAGAAGCUCAAAGUUCAUCCAGUAUUCCAUGUGAGUAUACUUAAGCCAUUCCAUGAAGAUGGAGAAGACCCAAAUCGGAGCAAGUCUGAACGAGCACCAAUGGGGGUAAAAGUCGCCUGUGAUCGAGAGGUCGAGAACAUUGAAGCUGAUCGUGUGGUCAGAUGUAAGUACUACCGACCGCGGCGUGAAUACUUGGUCCGAUGGAAGGGAUUCCCGGAUAGUGAGAUGAGUUGGGAACCUGCUGAAGCCUUGUGGCAAUUCCAAGAUAAGAUAGAUCGAUACCAUGCGGAGGACGCGACGAGGGCGUCGCUAGAUUCGGUAGGGGAGAAUGUCAUGGGUUGCGCAUGGGAGCCCGCAACCAUGACACAUCUGUGCGAUCCAUCAAGAAGGAAGGAGGUCAUUUGGCCCAAUCGGACUGGCCCGUUGCUUGAAGAGAUUGAAGGCCCAUCUACAAGUUAGACAAAUAUGGAAACAUGAUCUUGAAAGAUAUGAUUUUAUAAUCUUAGAGAUCUUAGAUAUGAUAUGUAAUCUUAUAAGAUAUUAUUUUAUAAGAUUACAUAUAUUAGAUAAGAUAGGUAAUCUUAGAAGAUAUGAUUUUAUAUUCUUAGAGAUUUGAUUGUAGAUACCCUUUAAUCAUAGCCGUUGAUGUACUUGAUUUUGUACCGUUGGAUUUGGAGAGGCUCAACUAU